AAAAGUGAAUAAGAGAAACGUCUCUAGAGAAAGCUUCCAAUCUCUGUCCUACAAAUCAUGGAAUCUCACUCUCUGCUGCACUACGACCAAUGAAAUGAGCUGGUUCAAGGACUGUCAUAGCAUUAUUAGGAUGGGAUUCAUGAAUAGAUAAAAGAGUAUAGGAAAAACCUACAUUGGUGGGGUUUAAGCUUCCCCCAGGACUGAACUGGUUGCACCUGACCCCAAAGCUGGAGUUGCUUAUUGGGAUGGACUCCUCUGGGCUACAAUUGACUCAAAGAACUGAAAGCUCACUUGAGAGUGGAGGGAAGAGAUGUGUUUGGAAAUUAAAGUGAAAUAAAGGCAAAAAGCAUCAUUAAAAUGAAGAUUUUUAAAGUAAAAGUAAUCAAAUUUCCAAGAGAAACUUAAUGAAGAAAAGAACAGAGAUCAUCCUGAACAGUAUUAAAGACUUCAAAAUAAAAAUGAA
rnacentral:lncRNA from 1 species